AGGUGACUGUUUCAUGAACAUGAUAAAUGUUUAAAAACCGAACCUGCCGCGGUGGAGGAUACACCCUGCUAACACCAGGGGG